rnacentral:tRNA from 1 species
UGGGGAGUCGUCUAAUGGUAGGACACAUCCCUUUGGAGGAUGGUAUCCUGGUUCGA